rnacentral:rRNA from 1 species
UGCAAGUCGAGCGGACAGAUGGGAGCUUGCUCCCUGAUGUUAGCGGCGGACGGGUGAGUAACACGUGGGUAACCUGCCUGUAAGACUGGGAUAACUCCGGGAAACCGGGGCUAAUACCGGAUGGUUGUUUGAACCGCAUGGUUCAAACAUAAAAGGUGGCUUCGGCUACCACUUACAAAUGGACCCGCGGCGCAUUAACUAGUUGGUGAGGUAACGGCUCACCAAGGCAACGAUGCGUAGCC